rnacentral:rRNA from 1 species
AACGAACGCUGGCGGCAUGCCUAACACAUGCAAGUCGAACGAGACCUUCGGGUCUAGUGGCGCACGGGUGCGUAACGCGUGGGAACCUGCCCUUAGGUUCGGAAUAACUCCCCGAAAGGGGUGCUAAUACCGGAUAAUGUCUUCGGACCAAAGAUUUAUCGCGUUUGGAUGGGCCCGCGUUGGAUUAGCUAGUUGGUAGGGUAAAAGCCUACCACGGCGACGAUCCAUAGCUGGUCUGAGAGGAUGAUCAGCCACACUGGGACUAGGACACGGCCCAGACUCCUGCGGGAGGCAGCAGUGGGGAAUAUUGGACAAUGGGCGAAAUCCUGAUCCAGCAAUGCCGCGUGAGUGAUGAAGGCCUUAGGGUUGUAAAGCUCUUUUACCCGGGAUGAUAAUGACAGUACCGGGAGAAUAAGCACCGGCUAACUCCGUG